rnacentral:rRNA from 1 species
UGGGGAAUAUUGCGCAAUGGGGGCAACCCUGACGCAGCCAUGCCGCGUGAAUGAAGAAGGCCUUCGGGUUGUAAAGUUCUUUCGGUAGCGAGGAAGGCACUUAGUUUAAUAAACUAAGUGAUUGACGUUAACUACAGAAGAAGCACCGGCUAACUCCGUGCCAGCAGCCGCGGUAAUACGGAGGGUGCGAGCGUUAAUCGGAAUAACUGGGCGUAAAGGGCACGCAGGCGGUGACUUAAGUGAGGUGUGAAAGCCCCGGGCUUAACCUGGGAAUUGCAUUUCAUACUGGGUCGCUAGAGUACUUUAGGGAGGGGUAGAAUUCCACGUGUAGCGGUGAAAUGCGUAGAGAUGUGGAGGAAUACCGAAGGCGAAGGCAGCCCCCUGGGAAUGUACUGACGCUCAUGUGCGAAAGCGUGGGGAGCAAACAGGAUUAGAUACCCUGGUAGUCCACGCUGUAAACGAUGUCGAUUUGGGGGUUGAGCUUUGAGCUUGGCGCCCGUAGCUAACGUGAUAAAUCGACCGCCUGGGGAGUACGGCCGCAAGGUUA